rnacentral:lncRNA from 1 species
UUCUUUUCUCUACAGGUUGACCGGAGCCGAAUCACCAAAACACGAACCUCGCCGGAGAGCCGUCGCACCCGAGAGCGCCGCCGCCGGUAAGCUCCGUUUUUCCGUGAUUUUUUGGCCCCCCGAGGGCCCUAGGGCUGUUUUCUCACAGGGGCCGAUGCGAGUAUGGCCGAAUUCGGCCAAAAACGGCCGAAAACAGCCAACCCGAGGCGACUCGCCGCCGCCAGCGGCGGCGCUGUCGCCGGAGCACGGCGGAGCCGCCGUGCCGGAGUUGCGAUUUGGGCCGAAAGAGGCCCUGGGCCUAAUUUGGGUUUUUUUUGGAACACGUGCAGGUACCGUUAGUGUGUUUCAGUUUCCCCGGAAAAAAUUCAGGGAAAAUUAGGGACGGCCUGUAGGCGCACUGUGAAUCGUAUUUGGAUCCUGAAAACAAGUAAGGACCCCUCACCCUAUUUCCUAUCACGGUAUUAAAGUUCAAAAUGAUAAAACGGUAUUUCUUGAAUUAACGCAUGUGUGAAAUUGCUUAAGGUUGCUAAUGGAGCCCUAGUCUAGUGUGAUUGAUGAUUUACU